UUUUUUUUUUUUUCUCAUGAGUUAGUUUUGAAUUGUAUGAAAUGGUUUUCCUGGAUAUAUUGCACAUGCCAUCUCUGUUUUUACCCACCUUAUCUAUUGAUGUAGUGAAUUUCUAUAUACAUUUUUAGUGAUAAACCAACUUGAUUAAUUUCUAGGUUAUUAGCAAUUCGACAUGACUCCUUAUAUUUUAUAUCUUAGAAAUUAUUUCUGUGCUCAAAAAUUAAAGACAAAGAAAAUCAUAAAGCCACAUUUUCCACUGUCCUAUAAAGAGGAAUAGGGCCAUCAGAGGAAUGGAACAUUUACUUAAAUAGCAAGGAAGGGAGGUGGGGGUGGGGAGUAAAGAAGGAAAGGAGUAUCUCUAAUCCAACCUCACAAGACAGCAUUUAUGUAGUUAGUAAGUUAGAGCUUAUAAAUAGAACUCAAAUAAGCUUUGCCUAUUAUAGUGGACAUUGAAUAAAUGAUAGCUAUAACUAUGAGAAAGAUGAGAGCAGAGAUAAAUGUCACUAGUUUUAGGCUAGUGUCACAGACAGGUGGUAUAAAUUUGCAAUUAAGAAUAGACUAAUGUCUGAGUCAAGAUCUCUGAUCCAUCUACUAUGUAACCUUGGGAAUGAAAGCACAGGUGUACAUGGCAUAAUAUAUAACUUUCUUUUUUUAAUGUGGUUGUCAGGUUUCAUCAAAUGGAAUUUUCCUGAGGAUUCUACUUAACUGAUUUUGGGUUAUCUGAGAGUACAGUAUAUUAAUGUUUUGGUAUAAAAAUAAAUUGACUUUAAGUUAGGGCUGUGUUUACUUAUUUUGGUCAAGAUGUUAAUAAAGGCAUAUUAUAUAUUGAUAAAAGUGUUUAUCUGUUGUAAAAGCAAGCAGAAUCAAGAAACGAUUUUAAACUUGACAGAUGUCCUAUGAGCAUGAGUUACGACUUUGAAGACUUUCUGUUUCCAUUUUGUUAUUAAAAUAUGAUGUGUAUGUGUGUGUCAUUGUGUGUAUGCUUAUGUGUUUAAAACUUGUAGAUGAGUAAUAUUUGGUAUAAAAACUUUUAUUUCUGAUUAUUUUAAAUUUGGUUAAAUUGUUUUAUUUUUACAAAAAUAAGAUCAGAUAAUGAUUGACAAAAUAGCUUUGUGUUUUAGUUUUGUUAAGGAGUCUGGACCAGUUCAUAGUUUAUAUUUUUCUAAGAUCUAAAGAAAAUUUUUUAAAUCAAAACACUUCUAUUAGUAUCUGUAAAACUACAAAAAAACAAGUAAAAAUAUGUUUAGACAUUAGGUAUAAGCUGUUAACAUUUUACAGUUUUUAGUUUUCAGUUUUACCAUAUGAAUAAUUACAAAAGUGAAAUUAAAAAUAAUGAUCAAGGUCAGGAUUUUAGUUUAUUUUAGCAUAGUUAAUGUAUGCUUAGAAGUACAUGUAGGAGUUCCUGUUGUGGCUCAACGGUUAACGAAUCUGCCUAGGAUUCAUAAGGAUGCAGGUUUGAUCCCUGGCCUUGCUGAGUGGGUUAAGGAUCUGGCGUUGCUCUGAGCUGUAAUGUAGGUUGCAGACAUGUCUCAGAUCCUGUGUUGCUGUGGCUGUGGUGUAGGCCAGCAGCUGUAUCUCCGAUUCAGCCCCUAGCCUGGGAACCUCCAUAUGCUAUGAGUGUGCCCCCCCCCAAAAAAAAUACGUAUAAGUUCAGUUUUGUUAUAUUCAUCAAGUAGUAGUCAAUUAAAUAUUAAUUUAGUAUCUGAUUAAUGGCAGGCUCUAUUCUAAAUGCCAAGGAGACAAAAAUCAAAGCAAAAUAAACUCUUUCAAAUCCCUGUUUUCACGAACUUUGCAGUGCAGAAGAGAGGAUAUGCAGUAACACAAAUAAUUAAAGUUUAUUGUUUGUUAGAUGAUGAAAAACUAAAAUAAAGAAAGAAAAGAAGGGUUCCUAACACAGCUUAGUGGUAAUGAACCAGACUAGGAUCCAUGAGGAUGCAGGGUUUGUUUUUUGUUUUUGUCUUUUUGUUUUUUUAGGGCCACACCCAUGGCAUAUGGAUGUUCCCAGGCUAGGGGUCCAAUUGGAGCUGUUGCAGCUGGCCUACGCCAGAGCCACAGCAACACCAGAUCUGAGUGUGUCUACGACCUUCACCACAGCUCAUGGCAAUGCCAGAUCCAUAACCCACUGAGCGAGGCCAGGGAAUUGAACUUGCAACCUCAUGGUUCCUAGUCAGAUUCAUUUUCGCUGUGCCACGACAGGAACUCUGAGGAUACAGAUCCCUGGUCUCAAUCAUUGGGCUAAGGAUACAGAGUUGCUGUGGUGGUGUAGGUCACACUUGCAGCUCAGAUCUUGCGUUACUGUAGCUGUGGUGUAGGCCAGCAGCUGUAGCUCCAAUUUGACCCCCAGUGUGGGAACUUCCAUAUGCUGUCCCUGCAGCCCUAAAAAGCAAAAGAAAAAAAGGGGGGAUGGUUAGGAAAUGCCAAAUGUGAGGCUAUUCAUUCAGGUUGUUUUUUUUUUGGGGGGGGGGGAAUCUUUUUGUCUUUUCUAGGGGCAUAUGGAGGUUUCCAGACUAGGAGUCUAAUCUGAGUUGUAGCCGCCGGCCUAUGCCACAGCCACAGCAACGCGGGAUCUGAGCCACACCGGCGACCCACACCACAGCUCAUUGCAAUGCCGGAUCCUCAACCCACUGAGCAAGGCCAGGGAUAGAACCUGCAACCUCAUGGUUCCUAGUAGGAUUCAUUAACCACUGAGCCACGACUGGAGCUCCUUAUUCAGUUUUAAAUAAGGAGACCUUAUUUAAAAGGUUAGGUCUCACUGAGUAAGUAUCAUUUGACUUAAAAUCUAAAGAAGGUGAAGGAAGGGGCUUUGUGGGUAUCCAUUAUCUAAACAGAAGGAAUAGUAACUGCUGAAGAGCUGAGGAAGGAAGUGGGCUUGAAACAUUUAAGGUAUGGCUAGGACCUCUUAUGGUUGGGACAGAGUAAGUAAGAUAGAAGUAUGUUACAGAAGUGAGAGAGGUAAUAGGGUGAGCAAAUGAUAAGAGACAGAGUCUUCCAGGUCAUUAUAACAAUUUUGGCUUUUACUAUAAGAUGGGAGAAUUGGAAAGUUUUUGAGUCAGGGAUGAGUAUAGGAGAAACAUGAUUUGGUAGGAGGGUUAGAAGAGGUUUUCAGAGCAGAGACUCAGUUUGGGACAAGUGUGGAAAGCCUAUUCUUGAUUUAGCCGAAUGAGCAGAAUCAAGAAAUGAAACUACAUGGUCUCUACCUCACAAAAUCUGUUCUGAUGUUAUAGAGUUAAUAAAGAGUAUUGAAUCCCAAGCAUGUUAUCAAAUUCCUUCUAAAAUUCAGGUACUAUGUUAGGAAAAGAUUUCAUGGUGACUUUAAACAUUUCCUACUAUGAAGGGGCUUUUAUGAGAUUGACAAGUGCAAUGUAUUCUACUUUUACAAGGGUAAGGACUAUCUUAUACAAACACGUACAAAUGAGAUUCCCCUUCUGUUAUGUCUUUGGAAGGGUAACGAUGUGCAGGUAAAUGCUGUGGGAUGAAAGGAAUUAGUAGGAUAAAUUUGUAG
rnacentral:lncRNA from 1 species